rnacentral:lncRNA from 1 species
GUGUGCUAGAGAAACAAACUUCUGAAAGCUGUCCUGACAUCCAUAUACAUUUAGUGAUAUGUGUGUGCCCUUUCCUAAAUAAAUAAAUGUAAUUAAAAACGUUAACAGAAAAAAAAAUAUAAUUCCUAUUUAUAGUGUUGAGCCUCUUCCCUGUGCCUGCUCCACAAUUCUAGGGUUUCUUGUAUCUCAGGCCACCUCAAACUCAUCAUGUAUCAGAAUGCUUCUGAAUCCCCGUUCAGCAGUGGUGGGAAUUGGAUGUAGCUUCAUGAGUGCUAAACAAGCAUUCUGCCAGCGAAGCUUUACUGCAGUGUGCAAGCAUGUUUGUGCACAUGAGUGCAGACGGUUGGGUGUGAAGGUCAUGGUGCUGAUGUGAAGUGUGUAGAUUGGCAUCCAACCAAAGGGUUGGUUGUUUCAGGAAGUAAAGAUAGCCAGCAGCCAAUCAAGUUCUGGGACCCCAA